rnacentral:ncRNA from 15 species
GCUCGAUUAGCUCAGCUGGUUAGAGCAUGCGGCUGUUAACCGCAAGGUCGUAGGUUCGAUCCCUACAUCGAGCG